rnacentral:rRNA from 1 species
GACGAACGCUGGCGGCGUGCCUAAUACAUGCAAGUCGAGCGCAGGAAACUGACGGAACUCUUCGGAGGGAAGGCAGCGGAAUGAGCGGCGGACGGGUGAGUAACACGUAAGGAACCUGCCUUAAGGAUUGGGAUAACUCCGAGAAAUCGGAGCUAAUACCGGAUAGUUCAUCGGACCGCAUGGUCCGUUGAUGAAAGGCGCUUCGGCGUCACCUUGAGAUGGCCUUGCGGUGCAUUAGCUAGUUGGUGGGGUAACGGCCCACCAAGGCGACGAUGCAUAGCCGACCUGAGAGGGUGAUCGGCCACACUGGGACUGAGACACGGCCCAGACUCCUACGGGAGGCAGCAGUAGGGAAUCUUCCACAAUGGACGAAAGUCUGAUGGAGCAACGCCGCGUGGGUGAUGAAGGUUUUCGGAUCGUAAAACUCUGUUGUAAGGGAAGAACACGUACGAGAGGAAAUGCUCGUACCUUGACGGUACCUUGCGAGAAAGCCACGGCUAACUACGUGCCAGCCGCCGCGGUAACAC